CUACGGGGUGCUCCAGUGGGGAAUAUUGGACAAUGGGCGCAAGCCUGAUCCAGCAAUGCCGCGUGUGUGAAGAAGGCCUGCGGGUUGUAAAGCACUUUCAGUUGGGAGGAAGGCUUUGGUGCUAAUAGUACCAAGGAUUGACGUUACCAACAGAAGAAGCACCGGCUAACUCUGUGCCAGCAGCCGCGGUAAUACAGAGGGUGCGAGCGUUAAUCGGAAUUACUGGGCGUAAAGGGCGCGUAGGUGGUUAAUUAAGUCAGAUGUGAAAUCCCUGGGCUUAACCUAGGAAUUGCAUAUGAUACUGAUUAGCUAGAGAGCAGAAGAGGGAAGUGGAAUUUCCGGUGUAGCGGUGAAAUGCGUAGAUAUCGGAAGGAACAUCAGUGGCGAAGGCGACUUCCUGGUCUGUUACUGACACUGAGGCGCGACAGCGUGGGGAGCGAACAGGAUUAGAUACCCCUGUAGUC
rnacentral:rRNA from 1 species